rnacentral:rRNA from 1 species
CGGAUCGGAGUCUGCAACCCGACUCCGUGAAGCUGGAUUCGCUAGUAAUCGCGCAUCAGCCAUGGCGCGGUGAAUACGUUCCCGGGCCUUGUACACACCGCCCGUCAAGCCAUGGGAGCCGGGGGGUGCUUGAAGUGCGUCGCCGCAAGGCGCGCCCUAGAGCAAAACCGGUGACUGGGGCUAAGUCGUAACAAGGUAAC